GAUUGACUGAUCCCUGCAAGGUGCACCUAAAAGGAGAUAUUCCCAAGGCUAUUUCCCAGCAUCACCUACAGUGCCAGUGGGGGUGUUACCAUCACGUUGGAGGUUCCAUGUCGGGGUCCGGUUCCCUCUGGGCUUUUCGUCCCCUCAGCUCCCGGGCGGGAUGCAGGAUUAUAUGCAUCGCUCCUGAUGAGGUGAUAUAGUCGCCGAAACGCGUCGAGCCAACGCCAUCCUAGAUGCUAUACGUUAUCAUAUAUGAUGAGAUCUAGCUAAAAUGUUUUAUAUUUGAUAUUGAUAUAUUUUGAUAUAUUUGAUAUAUUUUAUAUUAUGUCUUUAUAUGGAGCCUGCUGGCCAAGAUAUUUUGUAUAACUUGUGUUCAUUUAUUAAAAUUGUUUUUUCAAACUGA